rnacentral:rRNA from 1 species
UACGGAGGGUGCGAGCGUUAUCCGGAUUCACUGGGUUUAAAGGGUGCGUAGGUGGGCAGGUAAGUCAGUGGUGAAAUCUCCGGGCUUAACCCGGAAACUGCCAUUGAUACUAUCAGUCUUGAAUACCGUGGAGGUAAGCGGAAUAUGUCAUGUAGCGGUGAAAUGCUUAGAUAUGACAUAGAACACCAAUUGCGAAGGCAGCUUACUAGCCGAAUAUUGACACUGAGGCACGAAAGCGUGGGGAUCAAACAGG